GACGAACGCUGGCGGCGUGCUUAACACAUGCAAGUCGAACGGAAAGGCCCUGCUUUUGUGGGGUGCUCGAGUGGCGAACGGGUGAGUAACACGUGAGUAACCUGCCCUUGACUUUGGGAUAACUUCAGGAAACUGGGGCUAAUACCGGAUAGGAGCUCCUGCUGCAUGGUGGGGGUUGGAAAGUUUCGGCGGUUGGGGAUGGACUCGCGGCUUAUCAGCUUGUUGGUGGGGUAGUGGCUGACCAAGGCUUUGACGGGUAGCCGGCCUGAGAGGGGGACCGGCCACAUUGGGACUGAGAUACGGCCCAGACUCCUACGGGAGGCAGCAGUGGGGAAUAUUGCACAAUGGGCGGAAGCCUAAUGCAGCAACGCCGCGUGCGGGAUGACGGCCUUCGGGUUGUAAACCGCUUUCGCCUGUGACGAAGCGUGAGUGACGGUAAUGGGUAAAGAAGCACCGGCUAACUACGUG
rnacentral:rRNA from 1 species